rnacentral:rRNA from 1 species
UGGGGAAUAUUGGACAAUGGGCGAAAGCCUGAUCCAGCCAUGCCGCGUGUGUGAAGAAGGUCUUCGGAUUGUAAAGCACUUUAAGUUGGGAGGAAGGGCAGUAAGCGAAUACCUUGCUGUUUUGACGUUACCGACAGAAUAAGCACCGGCUAACUCUGUGCCAGCAGCCGCGGUAAUACAGAGGGUGCAAGCGUUAAUCGGAAUUACUGGGCGUAAAGCGCGCGUAGGUGGUUCGUUAAGUUGAAUGUGAAAGCCCCGGGCUCAACCUGGGAACUGCAUCCAAAACUGGCGAGCUAGAGUAGGGGAGAGGGUGGUGGAAUUUCCUGUGUAGCGGUGAAAUGCGUAGAUAUAGGAAGGAACACCAGUGGCGAAGGCGACCACCUGGGCUGAUACUGACACUGAGGUGCGAAAGCGUGGGGAGCAAACAGG